UGACGACAAUAGCGCUCUGGAACCACCUGAUCCCAUCCCGAACUCAGCAGUGAAACAGAGCAGCGCCGAUGGUAGUGUGGCAUUUGCCCAUGCGAGAGUAGGUCAUCGUCA
rnacentral:rRNA from 1 species